ACCAAUAUUGGUACAUCUCUGUUAAUACUGGUUAAUAAACGUAUUUAUUGGCUCUCUGUGUGCAUGCACACUUGUGCCAAUAGGAGCACAUGUGACCCUGUGAGCAUGUGGAAAUCGAAGCAUUAUUCUCAGGAGUUGUUUUUCUCCUUUCCUUGUAGGAUUCAGGAUAAAACUCAGGCGGUUGAAAUUGGUGGCAGGUACAUUUACCUGCUUGCUAAGCGAUUUCCCCAGCCAAGACCAUUCUUUAUACUGUAGAGUUUCAUGAUGUUAACAAAACACACAGUGGCAUUGUGUAGAGUGGUUCCACUGGCCUGAAGAAUCUAUGAUUCAUGAGCUAUCAUCUCCACCCUGAAUCCUGGCAACCACUGAGCUUUAUUUUCUUGUCAUUAUAGUUUGCCUUUUCUAUGAUGUCACAGAGCCGAAGUAGAACUAUGUAGUCUUCUUAAAUGGGCUUCUUUCACUGGGCAAUACGCGUCUACGAAUCUUCCGUCUGGGGAUGUAGCUUGCUGAAGGAGCCCUUGCCUAGUGUGUUUGCAGCUCUGGGUUUGAUUCCCAUCUCUGCAAAAGUAAAUACAUAACUCUUCUACGUCUGCAUAUGCCUCUGUAGUUUGUUUCAUUUUCAGGUUGAAUUUUAUUUCAUUGUUUGCACAUAUAGAUGUCAGUUUAGCCAUUUAACUAUCAAGAGAGAUGUUAGUUACAUGUAAUUUUUGCCUCUCUUAGAGUUACCAUUGACUUACACGUGCAGGGUUUUCUAUGGAGAUGGAUUUUUAUCUCUUUUAGGUAAACAGGGAGAGAAUGUAGCCCAAUGUAAGACUGUCUGCCUUGCAUGUAUAGAAGGCCCUGGGUUUGAUCCCAGGCACCACUUAGGCUCACUCCUAGGUAUUUACCUAGGGGCAUAAUUGCUGGAUUGUGUGGUAAGAGUAUAUUUAGCCUUGAAGGGUGUGGUGGUUUGAAUGAGAAUGGUCCCCAUAGUCUCGUAUAUUUGAAUUUUUAGUUCUAGUUGUUAGACUGUUUGUUAAAAACUAGGAGCAGAGGCCUUACAGGAGUAUGUGUCACUGGGGUGGAUCUUGAGGUUUCAAAAGUUCACACUAGGCCUGGUCCUCCCCUCCUCAUCCUCAGAUCAGGAUGUAAGCUCUUGGCUACUGCUCAGGCUACAACCAUGCCCCCACCACAUGCCCCCCACAAUCCCCCUCACCGUGAUGUCAUAGACUUUCCUUUAAAAGUUGCCUUGGUGUUGCUGUUCUGUCACAGCAACAGAACAUGAGUGAAGAUGAAGGGAAUUGCUAAAUGCUGACUAAAGUGACUGUACAAUUUGACUUUCGUUUUUGUAGCUCAAUUGGGAGAAUAUUUGCCCAGCACACGUGAAGUCAUGGAUUCAAUCCCUAGCUCUGCAUGCAACAGCUUUGGUCCUUGGAAAGGUUCGAGGUCCCAAAGCAACGUUAUUUAUGCCGGCUGCAACCCUUGCCACGAAGCCUUGAGGCAUCCCAAUUACUAAUUCAACGGCGGGGAGCUGAAGCAAUCCGGUGAUUUUCCAUCAAUAAGAUGGUUUCCAUCAGCAAAACCCCAUGGGGAAUGAUAGGGCUACUCGGUGACUCGAGCGCAGAUAUCAUCAUAAAUCUGAUUUUUUUUUCUUUCUUUCUGCUUUUUGCAAAGGAAACCCCACCUGCUGGUGUGUGGGUUAUUGACACAGCAGCCCUUUUGGUUCUAGUGCCAAUUCUUCCUGAAUUAGAAGGGAAAUCCAAGGGGAGGCCAUAAGUGCGAGGAAACAGAGGGCCUGCAAGAAGUGGUUCACUUUAACUCAUUGUGAUCUGUGCAGUUCAAGUCCUGGGGCAUCACAAACCUACAGCAAAUAUUUGCUGGGCACACUAAAGUCUGCCCACAAGACAAUUUAUCAGGAAACAAUCCCUGAGGUGGAGAACCAAUGCCCACAUUUAUUUAUUUAUUUAUUUAUUUGUUUGUUUGUUUGUUUGUUUGUUUGGCAUGGGAAUGGUCUACAUUUCUGAGAAAAACUAAGCCGUGAGAACUUCUACGAAGUGAGCUGAUACCGUGGGGAUGAGAACACACGAGCCUGAGACUCUAACGCUCCCGACGGGCUCUGGCCUGGAGUCGGUCCCACGUGCUGACACUUCUUACAAACCAAUGGAGAAACUGCUCCCUUAGGAGUGAGUAUCCCUAAGAAGAAUUUUCAGUGUCGGUGGUGUGUAUGAAUAGCACCGUAGUGACCACACAUUCUGUGGAAAUCCCCAGUGAAAGCAUCUUAUGCAUUUGCCUUCCGAGCCUUGAAACUUUUCCCCCAGUCAUUUGGCCUUUUAAAGCUUCCUGAGCCUCCCCAUUCUGUUUCCUGCGCUCUGAAAUUUUUUACUGGUGAUUAGAAAGCGUGAAGCUAGAUCCUGCCAACACCCCAGGAGAAAAUCGAAGGUGAUCUGAGAACCAUCCAGACCAUGCUUAGUCUUUUUCAGCCCCAGCCUGCCUUCCAGGUGUACCCGGUUCAAGUAGGCCGCGGGGCUGGCAUACAACAAUGACCAUGCUACCUAGGACUCUUGUAACU